rnacentral:rRNA from 1 species
AGAGUUUGAUCAUGGCUCAGAUUGAACGCUGGCGGCAUGCCUUACACAUGCAAGUCGAACGGUAACGCGGGGCAACCUGGCGACGAGUGGCGAACGGGUGAGUAAUGCAUCGGAACGUGCCCAGUAGUGGGGGAUAGCCCGGCGAAAGCCGGAUUAAUACCGCAUACGACCUACGGGUGAAAGCGGGGGACCGCAAGGCCUCGCGCUAUUGGAGCGGCCGAUGUCAGAUUAGGUUGUUGGUGGGGUAAAAGCCUACCAAGCCGACGAUCUGUAGCUGGUCUGAGAGGACGACCAGCCACACUGGGACUGAGACACGGCCCAGACUCCUACGGGAGGCAGCAGUGGGGAAUUUUGGACAAUGGGGGCAACCCUGAUCCAGCCAUGCCGCGUGCGGGAAGAAGGCCUUCGGGUUGUAAACCGCUUUUGUCAGGGAAGAAACGCUCUGGGCUAAUACCUUAGGGUAAUGACGGUACCUGAAGAAUAAGCACCGGCUAACUACGUGCCAGCAGCCGCGGUAAUACGUAGGGUGCAAGCGUUAAUCGGAAUUACUGGGCGUAAAGCGUGCGCAGGCGGUCCUGCAAGACAGAUGUGAAAUCCCCGGGCUUAACCUGGGAACUGCAUCUGUGACUGCAAGGCUGGAGUGCGGCAGAAGGGGAUGGAAUUCCGCGUGUAGCAGUGAAAUGCGUAAAUAUGCGGAGGAACACCGAUGGCGAAAGCAAUCCCCUGGGCCUGCACUGACGCUCAUGCACGAAAGCGUGGGGAGCAAACA